rnacentral:rRNA from 1 species
AUGAGCUGGAACGUGCGCGGGCUCAACUCGCUGGCCAAGCGCGAGGCAGUCCGGGAGGUUGUUGCGGCUCACCGCACGGCUAUCCUUUGCCUCCAGGAGACCAAACUGGACGCGUGGAACCCAAGUCCGGUUCGCGACAUCGGCGGAGCCGCGCUGCUAGGCUGCGCGGUGCUCCCUGCCAUCGGCACGCGCGGCGGCGCGGCGAUCCUUUGGAACAAAGAUGUAGUCUCCAUCGACACGCACGCAGUAGGAGAAUUCGCGAUCACGGCGAAAGUAGUGGUGGCCUGUAAUCGAGCAACCUUCUGGCUCACUAUGGUCUACGGGCCGGCGAGCGAUGCUCACAAGGAUGCGUUUCUCGCCGAACUAGCUAGAACAGCUCCCCCGCCAGACAAUCCUUGGCUCAUCAACAGCGACUUCAACCUCAUCUAUGAGGCUAGAGACAAGAACAAUCAAAACCUAAACAGGAGGAUGUUAGGUCGUUUUAGGGCGGCUAUCGACAACGCAGGCCUACGUCAAAUGAAGUGC